AGAGUUUGAUCCUGGCUCAGGACAAACGCUAGCGGUGCGUCUAACGCAUGCAAGUCGAACGGGCGAAGGGGCUUCGGCCCCCUAGCUAGUGGCAGACGGCUGAGUAACACGUAAGCAACCUGCCCCGAAGAGGGGGAUAAUCCGGAGAAAUCCGGCCUAAUACCCCAUGUGCUCUCCUUUUAAUACAGGAGGAGGAAAGGCUUCGGCCACUUUGGGAGGGGCUUGCGUCCCAUCAGGUAGUUGGUAAGGUAAUGGCUUACCAAGCCUAAGACGGGUAACCGGUGUGAGAGCAUGAUCGGUCAGAGGGGGACUGAGACACGGCCCCCACUCCUACGGGAGGCAGCAGCGAGGAAUCUUGCGCAAUGGGCGAAAGCCUGACGCAGCGACACCGCGUGGAGGAAGAAGGCUUUAUUUGUUGUAAACUCCUUUUAUUGGGGAAGAAACUAGACGGUACCCAAUGAAUAAGGGUCGGCUAACUAGGUGCCAGCAGCCGCGGUAAUACCUAGGACCCGAGCGUUGUCCGGAUUUACUGGGCGUAAAGGGCGCGUAGGCGGUUCAUCAAGUCUUGUGUGAAAUCUCUUGGCUUAACUGAGAGGCGCCACGGGAAACUGAUGGACUUGAGGAUAGCAGAGGAAAGCGGAAUUCACGGAGUAGUGGUGAAAUGCGUAAAUACCGUGAGGAACACCAGUGGCGAAGGCGGCUUUCUGGGCUAUUCCUGACGCUAAGGCGCGAAAGCGUGGGUAGCGAACCGGAUUAGAUACCCGGGUAGUCCACGCCCUAAACGAUGGAUACUAAGUAUGGGGGGUAUAGACCCCCUCCGUACUGUAGUUAACGCGAUAAGUAUCCCGCCUGGGGAGUACGGCCGCAAGGCUAAAACUCAAGGAAUGACGGGGGCCCGCACAAGCAGCGGAGCGUGUGUUUAUCGAUGAUAGCGAAGAACCUACAGACUGACAUGUUUUGACCGCCUGUGAAGCAGUUUCUCUCGAGAACAAUACACAGAAUAUGCAUGCUGUCGUCAGCUUCUGCUGAGUGUGGUAGUCCCGCACGAGCCAACUCCGUGCGUUAGUUAAUUCCUUAGCGGACAGCCACUCACGGGAAAGAGUAGAUAAUAUAUCAGCCCUAGGGAUCUACGGCUGCGGUCAAAAACAGCCCUCCAUG
rnacentral:rRNA from 1 species